rnacentral:rRNA from 1 species
AAAUUGAAGAGUUUGAUCAUGGCUCAGAUUGAACGCUGGCGGUAGGCCUAACACAUGCAAGUCGAACGGUAACAGGAAGCAGCUUGCUGCUUCGCUGACGAGUGGCGGACGGGUGAGUAAUGUCUGGGAAACUGCCUGAUGGAGGGGGAUAACUACUGGAAACGGUAGCUAAUACCGCAUAAUGUCGCAAGACCAAAGAGGGGGACCUUCGGGCCUCUUGCCAUCGGAUGUGCCCAGAUGGGAUUAGCUUGUUGGUGGGGUAACGGCUCACCAAGGCGACGAUCCCUAGCUGGUCUGAGAGGAUGACCAGCCA